UAUGCUCAGGCCCUGACUUUGUGCCCAGCACGUCACAAUCUUAGUUCAUUGCUGAGAUUACAGCAAGGGCCAUUGGAAGAAGAAUGUGGAUGCAAACUCCAGUCCUGCUUCCUAUCAGCUGUUAGAAGGUGCCCAGAUUUCCCUGGAGGCUAAAGCAGGGUCUGAACACAUUGGCUAGGCUGUUCUUCAGCCCAGUCAAAUCUAGGCAAGCCUCCCACUUAUGACCUCCCUGUUGGGACAAAGUGGAAAACAAACUAGCUUGCCCGGCCUAGAUUUCCAGGUUGGUUUGCUUUUGUUGUGGUGGUGUUCGGGAUAGACCAGCCAGCGUGCUGACCACAGAGUAGAGCAAACAUGAAGUUCACGAUGUGGAGGAAAAUUCCAACAGAACAGAGUCCAGGACUUCCUGUGGCCUUAAAGCUAGAAUUGUUCACUCUGCCCAGAGCAACGGGACUCGAGCCAUAGAACUUGCAGCUGUUACUAGAGUUGUGUGGGCAGCGUGCACAACAUCUACAUGUCUCCCACUGCAAACCUAACACACCUAAGGAGUUUCUUCUCAAGCCGUGCUUCCACUGAACACAAGAGAAGCUGGAUUCAGCCAGUUCCUUCAGUCAAGAAACAUCGAUAGCUUCUUGGUUCUGAUGACAUGACCUCCGAGACUGCAAGCCGAGAGUAGAGCAAGCGUGGAUGUGACAGCUGAGCACUCUUGGUUCUGACACAAGUUUCCUGGGAAACCGAGAGCUUGUGAAACUGUCAGUCAAGGAUCCCUCUGAGUGUGUGCAGCUCUCUCUGCUCCCCUGACAGCUUUCUUAGGACUUGGAACCUAAACUGGAAAAUCUCUUCAAACAGUGUGACUGGUGGCUCUACUAAAGUUUCCCUGCAUUUGAUUAGACUCCCGGGAGGAACAGGGAAGGGGAAGGAAUACCUCUUAGAACACAGUGUACUCUAAGAAAUUGGGUGACCUUGGGGCCUAUGCUGCACUCAGAUUUUAGUCAUGACUGUCUUUAUUCUGGGUGUUCAGUCCUCCAGAUGCCUACCUGAUAUUUCUUUUUUGGUUCCUUAUGAACACCAGUAAGGGUGCCCACACGGGAGUGCUCCUGAUGCCUGGACACACUCUCCCUUUCUGAAUGUUGACUCUACAAUCCUAACUUGCUAAGCAGGUUGAAAACAAGGUCUCAAGUCCUAACACACUAUCCUGACUGGCCACGACCUAUAGGAUAGCAGCAACUCUGUAUUGUUGGAAUACACCAAACACAUGGCUCUGGAGUUUCAGACGCCUACAAUUUAUGGGUCUGUUCAUCACCGGGGAAGUUUGCUUCCUGUGGAGAAAACAGAAAUAAAAGAUACCCUAGGAACUGAGUUAGAACUGCGUGGGCGUGCUCUGCUCUGCUGUACGCUUUGGUGCUGCCCACUAGGACUUGCUCUUUCUGGAGAACACAGAGUCUGGAGGAAGCGCAGAGAGCUCAGAUCUUGCCCGGGAUUGUCACUUCAUGGUCCCAGUGUUCCAGACACCUCUGCAGUGCUUACAUAGCACAGACUGCUUCGUGGGUGAAGCAGAGUAAAGUUAUGAGACUAAAAGUAUACAGAUAUUUGAUGACACGGAAAGUAAAAUACAGAAGAUGAGCACUCUCUUGCUGUGGCUUUGCCCUUUUUAAAAAAUAUAGACAAAGCAAGUCAGCCCUAAUAUGUGUGCAUCAGGACCUCCAAAACCUGUGACAUCACAUAGGUGGGACCUACAGACCUGUUACCAAGACAACAGCUACCAUGUUCCCAGAAUCCACUUGGCUUUCCUCCCAC
rnacentral:lncRNA from 1 species